UUAUAGGCGUUAUUUGUUAUUAAUAUUUGCAUUAUUAUUCAUGUAUCCACUGUCUGACUAAACACAUGAAGUAGCUGUCUAGGACAUUGCAUGAUAAUAGUAUAUAAUAGAUCUACAAAAAAGAUAAAUAUGAAAGAUAAUGGAUUUGAGUGCACUAUUCUCUUUAAAGAAUUUAUAUGAUACCGCCCUAUUUAUUCAUUGUAGUGCAAAAUGAGUUUUAUAUCGUGAAACACUCCUGUAGCGCAUUUCUAUCAAAUAAUAGUAAAUUUAAGCUAUGAAUGUGUUGCAUCGAUAGACGAUGAAAAACUUUAUUCGGGACUUUACAUUUAAAUUCACACUUAUUGUGGAAAAUUGUAAUCUUGAAUUUCAUCCGAUUUAAUUUGGGUAGAGGUGUCAGACCACCAUUUCACUCCCUCCAAUUUAGAACGUGUAAAAGUAGCCCUACUUUGACACAAAAUAGUGCUUUUGAUGUUAUUGUUUACUUUUACAAACCGACUAAUUUGCAGAAAUCAAACUUUCGGCGAUAGAAAAAAUAUUCAGACCAUUUUGAGCCAAAAUUUACUUGCUUAUGAGUUUGCAUUAAAAAUUGGUGAUUACUGCGCUCCAUAGUAUGCUUAUUACAGAUUUCCAGAAAACCAGGGUUUAUUGUUAGCAGUACCUGUCUUCCAGAAAACAAUUCUUUCUUAGAAGAAUUUAAACAUGGGUUAAUACUUGGCAUGCUGCUAUUAAUUCUACAAAACAUUCUUCAAUCUUAUUGUUUGGCAAGUAGGCCAAACCAAGGAAAUGUGUCAGCCAUUUUCCAAAAUCCGAAUCUUUGUCCUUGUAAAAGACACUACGACAUAUCGACUGAAUUUUUACGCCACCAACUUUGUCCUAAAUAAAAUCUGCAACAACUGAUUGUAGCAGCAUCCAAUUUUUUUGUAACAGCAGUAUGCAUUGCACAUUCAAAGUCAAAUAUAUUCAUUGCUUGAUAAAAAAUUGACAAAUCUUCAUUUAACAAAGCUUAGGAAUACUUUUUAAAACUUUUCAAGGAAUAUUAGAACACACCUUUGAACUCCCGGGCAUAUAGAGCGUGGUUGAAAGUAUAUUAACUGUUGUAGGAUGAAUUGUUGGAAAAGAUUUUAUGACUGGAGAAUUUGAUAAUUCGAAUAAUGGUUGCUUAUUACGUCAUAAUAAAAUACUCAAUAAACCACAACCGCUAUAAAUCGACAACGUCACAAUGCGAUUGUUGAAUUUUGCUAAAGCAUAUCAAUUCUAAUAUAGGGUGCUUAUUACAUCAUAUGUAUAGAGCAAUAAUAAAAUACUCAAUAAACCACAACCGCUGACGGAAAUAAUAUCCGGACACCUUUAUUUUCGUUUCCUCCCAAACGGAAUAAUAAUAAGCUAGGAUGACAAAUGCGACUAUGCAUGAUAUCUAUAGGACACAGAGCCAUGAUGAUUAAUUUAUUGUGUAAGGAAGAGAAACGACACACAAAAAAAUCUUCUCAUUUAUAUGUAUAGAAGAUAGUGUUCCUACCUGUGCAUAAUAGUCGCCGCCCUUCUGUACUCCCAAAGCAUAAUAUUGAAAAUAGUAUACCCGCUGCUUUUUCAAAAAAUAAUCUUUUCAAAUUACAUGCCUUUCAACAUUUCCGGUAAAAUUGUUGCCUGAUUGUGUAACACACCUAUAUACUAAUAAUGAAGUGGAAUACCUAGCCUUUGGAAGUUUUAUCAUUUCUGUUAUUGAUUGUUUACUGUUAAUUAGGUGAUUAUAGAUAACCUAGCCUUUGCCAGUUUUAUCAUUUAUGUUAAUGAUUGAUUACUGUUCAUUAGGUGAUUAACGAUAACCUAGCCUUUGGCAGUUUUAUCAUAUCUGUUAAUGAUUGUUUACUGUUAAUUAGGUGAUUACAGAUAACCUAUUGUUUACUGUUAAGUAGGUGAUUAAAGAUAAUAGAACAAAUACUAGAUAUUUAAUACAAACUGAAAGUGUCGACAUGUUCUCCAUUUGUAAUGUUUAUGUAUAUAGCAUGUAAAACUUUUAUGAAGUUUAAAGAAAUUGUUCCAAGAACUUUCUCUCAUAUGUUCAAACAAUGACAAAAAGGGUUUGUCUUAAAUGAUAUUAAAAUAUAUGAACACUGUAACGUCUGCAUUGGUAUAUGAUCUGAUCUAAUUGAAGCCGAAAUCAAAUAAAGUCCACCCUACUUACAAAACGAACUAGUUGUCAAUAUCUCCGACUUGUAAGUUUUAAAUAACCCUUUUGGUACCUUAUUUACCAGUUCCGCUAUUUACAAAGUCGUAAUUAUCAAUUUGGACCAAUCCGUCAUUGCCACGCACGAUCUUUCCAGUACGUUUGUUUCUUUAUUCCUAUAUUUAUGUGACACUAGAAAUCAGACCCAAUCCACUCUUCUCUCAAAGGAACUUUCCAUUAACUUGUUGUUCGAUUUUUUUUUCAUCAUCUAUUUAAAAAAAUGUUAAAAUAAUAAGUAUGCUGAAGAAACAAUGUUUAAAAUUCAAGGGAGAGGGGGGAUGCAUAUAUUUCAUGUAGUUUUAAAUUAAUGAUCACAUUAAUAAAAUUGACAUCAUUCACUCUCUGUACUUCAUAAUUAAAACAGAUAAACGAAAAUGCGAUUCUUUCCUUAAUUAUUGUCAUUAUGUUACAGCACUAUCAUUUUAUACAAAAAAUAUCUUCAUUUAAAUAGAAGUACCAAAUUUGUUGGAAUGUAAUUUAAAAUAGUUUAUGAUGAUUAAAAGAGAUAUAGGAAAAUGAGAUGCAUUACCUUAACUAUGACCACAGUGUCAUGAAAAUCAAGAGAUGAUAGUAUCAAAGUGGCACCAAGAUAAUAUCACAGAUAGAUCCAAAAAAAGGAAGAUAUCAUCAUGGUAUCAUGAUAGACAUGGCAACUAAUGAACUUUUAUGGAAUAUUGAAAUGUUGGUGUGAAAAUCAUAUUGUCUAGUUAAUUAUGUAAAUUUGGUGCUAUAAAUAAGAAGUGAAACAAAAUUGAAUUAUCAUUCACUCUGACGAUAUGGAAAUGGCAAAUAUGGUUGAUGUGCUUAAAGGGCUAUUGGUGUGAAACUCGUUAAAAUGGAGGAAGAAGUAAGCAGAAAUAUUAGAAAAAUUGAGACAAGAAGACUUCGGCAGGCAUCAUUUUUCAACUAAGUUGAUUCAACUGGUGAAUUAGACGGUAUCGUGAUGAUACUUGCAUAAAGAAGCAUCGACAAUGGUUGUGUUCGUCGAAAUAGUAGUAGAGGAGGGAGUGUUGGUGGAAUUUGAAAUAAGGAAGAGAAAAAGUAACUUACUACACAUGUAUAUGACAAUCGACGUGGAAAAAGUGAUUGAAUUUCGACUGGUAACGAUGAGUUUGAACUUCUUUGUAAUUUGAAUGGAGGUCUGGAUUCAUUGAAGAGUUGCUUCCAACAAUGUGAACCAUAUCUCCAUGCUAGAGCAAAGACUGGUCGACCCGGAGUCAGAAUAAUGUGUCUUGGUGAGGUAUCCACCUAUUGCCUUGUGCGCUUACACGUUCACCUUGUUCAAUAACGAUAAUAAAUGAUGAAUAAUAUACAUACAGAUGGGCUAUUUCCAACGACAACGUACACAUUUACUGGUGUUGAUAUAUAUCCACACACGCUAAAAUCCUCAUAAGCGACGAUAAUUGUGCUAAGUUUUGAAAUAAUCUGGUUUGGGAUAUCUACUCUUAAGUGGGCUUCCUCUGUCAUUCGAUCAAUUAUCGGAAUUUUCAACGAGCUCGGCACCUGAAACUUCUAGAAUCUAGGCCCUGAUUUGCACAAUUGAAUGUAUAUACAUUAAAGAUCAGGUCUUCCUGCCCUACACUUGUAUUUGACAAUCGACGUGGAAAAAGUGAUUGAAUUUCGACUGGUAACGAUGAGUUUGAACUUCUUUGUAAUUUGAAUGGAGGUCUGGAUCCAUUGAAGAGUUGCUUCCAACAAGUAAGUGUUUAUUGUAACUACUGUUAUAAUUCAGUUAACAACAAUUUCAUUAAGAGAUAAAUGUAUUUUCUCUUCUUUGCGUCAUUAUAACCUUUGUAACUAAUCACGAUUUAAUUUUCACAUGACGAUUUCAGUUUACUUUCGUAUUUUUUCCACGUUGUGAAAUGUGAAACCAACAACAAAAAAAUCACCAUAAAUAUAUAAGCGCUAUAUAUAUUUUCUUGUAUGUUGGUCAUUUAUUUUUGUUUUUUUAUUUUAUUUAUUUACACAAGUCGAUGUGCAAGAUAGCAUCUGGACAAACUUCAAUUUACAUCAAUUAUGAUUGAUUAUUUAUCCAAAUUCAAACUUCUGCGAUUUUUUUUCAUAGCCUCAACAACAAACAAAUAUACCUCACCCACACCAUCAUUGUCCCAUCAUCAACCCAUACCACUAAUCAAAAAGGAGAAAUUCAUCGUCCUUAAUUUGUAACAACUCAACAACCUGCCAUAUAAACCGCUACCACUGGAACUAAGAGACCCCAAAGUAAAAAAUUAAAUCUUGAUGACAUGAAAAUAACAAAGAUUGGAGCACACUAUGAGGAUGCAACACCACCAAGUCUAGAAGAAAUUGUAGAUAAUGUCCCUCCUGAAAUGUUUGAAGACUUUUAUUAUACCCCCAUUCAACUAGGAAGCAAGACUCAUAGUAAUGACGAAUUAAACUUUUUUUUGUUGCUUUUUUUUUAUGUAUCAACAUUUCACCACAAAAGUGUGCAGGUCAAUGCAAUUCACAUAUUAAAAUAAACAGAUAUAGUUUAUGCAUGAACAACCAUAAUAGAGAUAUAAAUGUGAGAUAUAAAUUUGUAAGUUUAAAAACUUUACUUGUAAAUACUACACAUAUUAUGUUAAAUAAAAAAAAACCGAACUGGAUAGAUAGUAAAACAUCUUUUCUAAUAACAAAACUAUAUUGAGCUAACACUAUAAAAGCCUGGGGAUCAUUAAGUAUGAUAUGAUAUUACUAUAAUAUAAACGUACAAAGAUAUGAUUUGAAACAUUAUAAUCUCAUUUAAAACAAAACAUCCACAAUGCACAUAGUUAAAAUUUAUCAACUGAGAGAUAUAGUCAUAUCGUAAACGUAUUGAAAAUAAAGAAAAGAAUUGAGAUCAUACUAUCUUCUCACCUAAAAAGACAAUUUUACAAGUACAUUGUCAAACAGCACAAGGGCUUUUUUUUUAAAAAAAAGCUCGCAUCCUUCUUUUUUGGGAUAACGAGACCACUGGAGAUAGAACACACAAAAAUGAAGACACCAGCAGAAUAUCAUGUUAAAUAUGGUGAUGUUGGUGUGGAAAUCAACACCGAUGAAAUAAUCUAGUUAUAUAUAUAUAUAUAUAUAUAUGUAUAGAAAAUAAAAGGAUAUGGAGUAAAUGUACAUGGGACAAAAUCGCACACAAUACAUAGAAAACAUAGAAAAUUAUCAAUGAACAGGGCUUUUAUUCCUGUUCUUCAUCUUGACGGUUGAUGUAGGGUCUUCAACAAAGAACGAAUCAUUCAUACCCUACAACAAGGUCAAGACGGCCCCUAGCGUCGACUUAAGCGGUACUAUUGAUCAAAACAAACCACAGUUCACCUUCUUGCUCCCCACCCGCCUCGGAGUGCCAACUUGUGCGAUGCUUGUGUGCGACGGUUCUCCAGUCGAAAGCACCAGGGAUACAAGAAAAGUGCAUUAAUUUUGAAAGACAUCGAUAUAUAUGUAUAUAACUAAUUAUGCAAAUUUUAUAUAUAUAUAUUAUAUAUAACUAAUUAUGCAAAUUUUUGAAAGGGAAUGAAGUGAUAUAAAUAAUAGUAGAAAAACAUGCAAUAUUAUUCACUUUUGAUAAACAUGGAAAAGGCACUAGAAAUACUGAAAGGUCAACUUGUUAAAAUUCUCCAGAUGGAGUUGGAACUCCGGAAAAAUAUGGAAAUGAUAGAGAUGAGUCUAAUAAUAAGUCAACCUAUCUGGUUGAUUUCUCCUUCUAUUACUUCUUCUCAACACCUGUAUAUUUUUUUACUAUAAAAUUUUCUAAAUAAUUUAUUAAUACAACUGGUUAAAAAAUUUACAAUUAGUCUUAAUUUCGGGUGAAUAUUGUUCAAGUUUAAUUUAUGCCGGUAAUUAAAAAGAAAACGUUUUGGAUAAACUGUAUUAUUAACGGUCUGCAGUAAAUGUUAAUCGGUAAAAUAGCCACUGAAGAUAUUGCCACGAUUGAGUGAAAAUCUGAAAGAAGAGAAAAAACAAAAAUUUUUAAAAUGGAAACACUAUUUAUUUUUCCUAUCUACUUGAAUGUUAAAUAAUGAUUCUUCCGAAUAUUUUAAUGAUACAAGGGAGGGUAACCUUUUUAACUGAAUGGAAUUUACAUGUGCAUUAUUAUGGUGGUUUUUUCUACAUGAAAGUAUAAUAUUUUUUUUCUAAAUUUAAAACAAAGGGGAAAAAUAUACAUAUACAAAUAAACGACACUACAGUUAUUAUAAUAGUCCAUUCUUCUGAUAAUUUAUCUACAAUAAAAUAAUGAAAACAAUUUCAUUUAAGGUUUUUUUUUCAAUAUAUAAAUGUAUAUUAAAACAUGCGAUUAUUUUUCUUUCAUCGAAAAGAUAGUUUUCUAAAUGAAGUUAUCAUUUAAACGAAUGUAAAAAUAUCUUCGAAUCAGAUAAGACUAUCAAAUGAGGAACAUCAAUCGAUUUAACUGUAGGAGGAGAGUAUGAA